rnacentral:rRNA from 1 species
AGUAGUUUGAUCAUGGCUCGAGGACGAACGCUGGCGGCGUGCUUAACACAUGCAAGUCGAACGGGGAUACAUUGGAUGAGAGCUUCGGCAGGAAUCCGGUGUAUUCCAGUGGCGGACGGGUGAGUAACGCGUGAGCAAUCUGUCCCGGACAGGGGGAUAACACUUGGAAACAGGUGCUAAUACCGCAUAAGACCACAGUAGGACAUCCUACAGAGGUAAAAGGUGCAAACCGGUUUGGGGUGAGCUCGCGUCCGAUUAGAUAGUUGGUGAGGUAACGGCCCACCAAGUCGACGAUCGGUAGCCGACCUGAGAGGGUGAUCGGCCACAUUGGAACUGAGAGACGGCCCAGACUCC